AUGCAACCAGAUUUGAAUAAAUUUCCUCAUACUGAAUUUGGAAGUUCACGCUCAUCAAGAGCAUUUUCUAAAUCUUGGUACAAAACUCAUCCAUGGAUUGAAUACGGUGAGUGGAAGAAGGCAGCUUAUUGUUUUUAUUGCUUUCUCUUUAAGCAACCUGGAAGGGCUGAGCACUUUGGUUAUGAAGUAUUCACCAAAGAAAGAUUUACAGAUUGGAAGCAUGCAUCUAAAGCCUUCAAAGAUCAUAUUGGUGAUCCUGGUAGUAAGCACAACUCUUGCGUCAAGCAUUAUGAUGAUUAUUGUAAUCAAAGACAAAGUGUGGCAAGCAAUUUUGCUAGAACUAGCAAGGAAUCGGAAGAAAUGUAUAAGAUCCGCUUGACUUGUUCUGUAAGUUGUUCAAGAUAUCUCAUCGCACAAGGCUUGGCUUUUCGUGGACAUGACGAAUCCUCUACUUCUCUGAACAAAGGAAACUUUAGAGAGAUGAUAGAUUUGGAAAACACAAAAAAUGAACAAGUGAGAGAUGCUUUUGACCGUGGUGGAAGAAAUUGCACAAUGACAUCCGGUGACAUUCAAAAGGAGCUUGCAAUGUGUUGUGCACAUGAAGUUACCAAGAGGAUCAUGGCAGAGCUUAGUGAUAAACAAUUCUCUGUGCUUAUGGAUGAAUCACGUGAUAUAUCUGUGAAAGAGCAAAUGGCGGUGAUGUUGAGGUUUUUGAAUGACAAAGGAAAGGUUGUGGAACGAUUUAUUGCUCUUCACCAUGUCAAAGAUACUACAUCCGAGUCACUAAAGAAUGCUCUUUAUGGUAUUCUUGAUCAUUAUAAGUUAUCUAUUUCAAGUAUACGAGGGCAAGGAUAUGAUGGUGCUUCAAAUAUGAGAGGCGAGUUUAAUGGUUUGCAGAAAAAGAUCAUAGAUGAAAACCCUUUUGCUUUCUAUGUUCAUUGCUAUGCUCAUCGUUUGCAGUUGGUGGUUGUCUCUGUUGCUAGUAGUUGCUCAUCUAUUCAUGAUUUCUUUGAGUACAUCUCCUUAAUUGUGACCACAACAACUACAUCUUGUAAGAGAAGGGAUGCAUUGACAGAGGCACAACACCAAGAUAUUCUGGAUAGACUUGAGAGUGGUGAGAUAUCUACAGGAAGGGGCUUGCACCAAUCAUCUACUCUUGCUAGGCCAGGUGACACUAGAUGGGGUUCCCAUCAUACUACUUUGCUUCGUUUGAAUCAAAUGUGGUCCUCUGUGUUACAGGUACUUAGUACAGUUGAUGAACAUGGACGUGGGCCAUCUCAAGCAGUAGGUUUGAUAGAAAAAAUGGAGAGCUUUAAAUUUGCUUUCAUUCUAAAGCUUAUGUUGAAGUUGUUUGGCAUCACAAAUGAGCUCUCAAAAGUCUUGCAAAGAAAAGAUCUUAAUAUUGUGCUUCCCAUGGAAUUAGUGGAUGAUGUCAAAGCUCGGCUGGCAACAUUAAGAGAGAGUGGUUGAGAUGAUUUAUUUUGUGAUGUUCAAGAAUUUUGUGCUACUAAUAGUAUUCCAGUGCCAAACAUGGAUGAAGCAAUACCAGUUCGUGGUCACUCAAGGAGAGCAGGGAGGACUAUCACUAAUCUUUACCAUUACCGUGCUGAGAUUUUUUAUGUUGGUAUUGACAAAAUAUGCGUGUAG
rnacentral:rRNA from 1 species